UAGCUCAGUUGGUAAAUCGUCUGCCUGCAAUGCAGGAGACCCAGGUUCAAUUCCUGG
rnacentral:tRNA from 1 species